UACGGAGGGAGCUAGCGUUAUUCGGAAUUACUGGGCGUCAAGCGCACGUAGGCGGCUUUGUAAGUUAGAGGUGAAAGCCUGGAGCUCAACUCCAGAACUGCCUUUAAGACUGCAUCGCUUGAAUCCAGGAGAGGUGAGUGGAAUUCCGAGUGUAGAGGUGAAAUUCGUAGAUAUUCGGAAGAACACCAGUGGCGAAGGCGGCUCACUGGACUGGUAUUGACGCUGAGGUGCGAAAGCGUGGGGAGCAAACAGG
rnacentral:rRNA from 1 species